CGGGUAACCUGCCCAAGAGAUCGGGAUAACACCUGGAAACAGAUGCUAAUACCGGAUAACAACAGAUGAUGCCUAUCAACUGUUUAAAAGAUGGUUCUGCUAUCACUCUUGGAUGGACCUGCGGUGCAUUAGCUAGUUGGUAGGGUAACGGCCUACCAAGGCGAUGAUGCAUAGCCGAGUUGAGAGACUGAUCGGCCACAUUGGGACUGAGACACGGCCCAAACUCCUACGGGAGGCAGCAGCC
rnacentral:rRNA from 1 species